CUACCUGAUUCAGCGGCGGACGGGUGAGUAAUGCCUAGGAAUCUGCCCGAUAGUGGGGGACAACGUUUCGAAAGGAACGCUAAUACCGCAUACGUCCUACGGGAGAAAGUGGGGGAUCUUCGGACCUCACGCUAUCGGAUGAGCCUAGGUCGGAUUAGCUAGUUGGUGAGGUAAUGGCUCACCAAGGCGACGAUCCGUAACUGGUCUGAGAGGAUGAUCAGUCACACUGGAACUGAGACGCGGUCCAGACUCCUACGGGAGGCAGCAGUGGGGAAUAUUGGACAAUGGGCGAAAGCCUGAUCCAGCCAUGCCGCGUGUGUGAAGAAGGUCUUCGGAUUGUAAAGCACUUUAAGUUGGGAGGAAGGGCAGUAAGCUAAUACCUUGCUGUUUUGACGUUACCAACAGAAUAAGCACCGGCUAACUCUGUGCCAGCAGCCGCGGUAAUACAGAGGGUGCAAGCGUUAAUCGGAAUUACUGGGCGUAAAGCGCGCGUAGGUGGUUCAGCAAGUUGGAUGUGAAAUCCCCGGGCUCAACCUGGGAACUGCAUCCAAAACUACUGAGCUAGAGUACGGUAGAGGGUGGUGGAAUUUCCUGUGUAGC
rnacentral:rRNA from 1 species